rnacentral:lncRNA from 1 species
UCACAAAGGCGCCGCUCGCCGCUCGCAGAGCGUUCCGCGAGCUGCGGGCCGGGCCCCGGCGGAGCGACGCUCCUCCGGUGCGCGUCGCGCCUCUCCGCCGCCGCCGCUGCCUCUCGGUCGCCAAGGCUCGGGCCGUUGAGGGCGAGUUAACAAGUUACGACCUCGGCCAAAGCCGGACGAGCCCACGCGGGAUCUCGCCUCCACACCCCCGGCCCGUGGGGACCGCGAUGCAGCGAAAGCUCUACGAGGUCUGAGCCUCGCGGCUCCCCGUACCUGACCCCGGCGUGGACGCGUUCCCGCGCUCGCCGGCGUGAGGGGUCCGCGCGUGCGCGCCCGCGCAGGCGCACGGAGCCGAGACCGCGCCGCCAUGGGCGAGGCUGGCGGCGCUGAGGAGCCGCGCCGGCUCGUGGGGGCGAAGGAAGAGUUUGUCAGGGUGAGGAAGAAGGACCUGGAGCGCCUGACCACCGAGGUGAUGCAGAUUCGGGACUUCCUGCCCCGGAUACUCAACGGGGACGUGCUGGAGAGCUUCCAGAAGCUGAAGAUGCUGGAAAAAACUCCCGAUGAAACUUUUGUUGCCCGUUUUCUGGAACGUGCUGAUCGCAGUUCUUUUAAAGUCUGAGUCUGGAUCCCUAGAUCCGUUGAUGUGGUUGUACUGUCUCUUCUUCCUCGCGGAGGUCCUGGUAAUUUUCCGUUGAUGAGUGGAUGUUAAAGUGACACCUGAAGAAGCCCUGGAUGCUGGUGUUUUGCCCUGGUUUCUCUCCGUCUGUUAGAGUCAGGGUGGAUCGCCCUAGUCCAGCCACGGACUGAGCCGGUUCAUGGCUGGUUUCGGCCCUCGUUCGAGCUGGCCUGUUUCCAGUUCGUUCUCCCUCGUGGGGUUUCAGUCCUUCGGGGGGCGGGGGGGGCGGCCUGGGGACCAAGCAGAGCUUGGUUGUUGGCCAGAGCCCCUCAGUCGCGGCUGGCCCUGACCUUCAGUCCCGCCCCUCCAGCACGGUGGGACCGAGGGUGGCUCUGCUUGGCCUCCCGGCCUCGCGCCGCUCGCCGCCUGUCUGCCUGCACGGCCUCUCUGAGCUUCCACCUUGCCGCGGGCCUGCCGGGAGAGGUGCCGUGGCAUCGGCUCCGUUUUUGGUGCGUCUGUCUUCUCCAGGACCGUGGGCUGCCCUGGUCCCGGUGGCCUCCUGGUGCUCGAUUCCCCAGCGUGGUGAGAUGCCUGCCUUGCCGUCUCUGCCUGUGCGGCUUUGGAAUGUGCACAUGCCUUGGGCGAGGCGGCGGGGAGUCGGGCUCGCUGGCUGCAGAGCAGCCCUCUCUGUGGCGCGGUGACGCCCGAGAGCCUGGAGACACCUUCUUCAUGGCUUGUCUCGGGUCUGCUCUUCUCGUUCUUCUUGGGGGGAAGGCUGAUGGCUGCAUCGCCUGCUGGCUGGAAACGGAAGUUCUUCAUGGCCACUGUUAGGGUUUUAAGUACUUGAAGAUACACGUGAUAGCCCACAGCAAAGACAGGCUGUGGAGAUGCUCCAGGCUGAAGGAGGCCUAAAGAUAAAUGCGAUGCCUGACCCCAGACUGGAUGCUGUACCCGAAGGAAGGUGCCAUAAGGGCUGCCAUGCUUUUAGGUCAUUUGACGGAAUUCUCAUGUCUCCGGCGGAUUAGAUAAAGGUAGUAAUGUGUCUGAAGCUGACAUAUUAACAUAUUAGAUGCCGGGUGUCUGGGACAUCUCUAUUCUUGGAAAACAUUCACUGAAGUAUUUAGAAGAAAAGCCCCGCAGUCUAUGUAACUUAGCCCAAACCGGCUAAAAACACACAUCGUGUGUGCGCAUGUGUGUGGUAUGGGUGACGAGCAGAUGUGGUGAAAUGUUAACAGCAGGUCGGGCUGGGUAAAGGUAUGUGGGUAUUCUUUGUGUUAUUUCUACUUAUGCAACAUUUUCUAAACAUUUAAAUUGUUUUCAAAUAAAACAUUUACAAAACUU